GGAGAGUCACUCAGCGGCGUCGAGGGCCAAGCGCUUUCCGCGGCCUGCAAGAACUGGCUGGAACUGGGAGCCCUGGAGCGUGUGAUGGGAAAAUGGCCAGAGUUAAACCCAGCACCCGCGGGGUGCGCCCGGCGUGCUCCUCCCUUCCGUCCCGGGGCCGCUGUGUGUUCCCUCAGAAGAGAACUUCAAACUUCAGAAGUAACUUGGCCGUGACUGAGAAGGGAAUCCCAGAAAUGCCCACCCAGCUCUGAAUUGGUAACUGUCCGUGUUAUCAACCAUGUGGCUGCUUUUGAUUUUAGCUGUGAAAAAUCACACCAUACAAGUUUCCCAUGGAAAUAAAAUGGAAUCUUUGAGAGUUAAAAAGAAUUCUUUUUAAGAACCUUAAGGUUGCUGUUUUAAUACACAAUUGGAAAAGAGGAGGGGGAGAAAACACAUAACUGAGUUCAACAAAGCAUGCAUCUUCAGUCCAUGGUCCCCUUUCUUGUGGAAAGGAAACUGGCCCCCAGGCUUCCUGGUGUCAGCCUCAUAUUCUGUUCAUUCAUCUGGACCAAGAAGGGGAAAGCUGUUUAUGCCCUAGGCCUCAAGAAGCCAUUUAUCUUUAAAGGAAAAAAAACAACAAAA